ensembl:lncRNA LINC01193 long intergenic non-protein coding RNA 1193
CAUUGUCUUCUCUUCACUAAACUUUAGUUAGUAGUUGGUCCCAGUCAGUAACACUCUGGGAGGGCUCAGGCCACAUCACGAAAUGUGACAGGAUAGCCUUGAACUCAUCAAUUGCUGGGUAAGAAAGAAUUUUAAUGCAAUGGCAAACAACCAAUCAAACAAGCAAACAAAAACAAUAAACCCUUCCUUGAGGACCAAGAAGACAUUGAUUAGCUAACCUAAGAGCUCCAGGUGGAGACCUAGGUCCUGAUUGGGUUUCUGAAUUUGACCACUAGGCAGAAAACUAGCACCCAAAACCAGUUGGAAUAAAAUUACCCACCUACAGUGGAGCCAAGGCCCCCAGAUCCUUUUUGUCAGGGGCACCUCAAACUCAACUCCAAAAUUGAUCUAAUGAACUUUCCCAAACCACAUUCCCUUCUUGCAUUUCUGAGAGAAUGGAUUCCCAUUCAUCUGACUACAGUGCUACCCUGAAAGCAGAUCCAGAGACUAAGAUUCACCUGCAGGUGAUUCAUUUGCAAGGUAAGCUGUCAUCAGUUGGAGGUAAGCAGAAGACAGUAGAGAGUACAGAGCCCUGGACUGUGACUCAGAGGAUGAGCACCAGAUCCAGUUUGCUGUGCCACAGUGCCUUCUCCAAAGUCACUCACAGAAGGCAUCCCACUCAACCUCACCUUGGGGUAAAUCAAAAUAGUCCUCCUUCUGAAGCUACCGGGUAAAACGGUGGUAGCUGUGCAGCUGCUGCUGAUCAACAGGCUCCAGAAACAGCAGCAGGAGCUCAGCAUGAUGUAAACUCCACUGCGGACAGAUGCAGCCAAGAAGACAGGUCACCUUCUACCAACUCCCACCAGAGGAAACUCUUCCCCAGGACCCAGUACGUUGGCCCUCUGACCCUGCACACAGCACAUGAUGCUGAGGUUCAGUGCUGAACAAGAGCUACUGAGAGCCAGAGAUUCACUUCUUCCAUGGAGCCCCACUCAUGGAUGGAGGCUCUGUCCCGGGUCCAGUGCCACUGGGAACACUGGGUCUCUGGUUUCUAGCUCUGUCCUAUGGCAGAGGUUCCACCCCACAAUAACCGAAGUGCUGAGAAGGUGGGAAGCUCCUGCCCGACCCUCCACUGAGAGCUCAGCUCCUAGGCUGAGGAAUAAAACAGCUCAACUUUGUCUACACCUGCAGAACCUUGUUUAGGAGCUCUGUCCCAGGAGAGAGGGGGCAAUGGAAUUCAGUCAUAAAAUAUGAUCCUUAAUUAGUCCUAAAAAUCCUAACUUCAGUAACAGCAGAUUGUGGACAAAUUGAAAGCCUGCCAGUGCUCUCAAAAACAGUGGAUGGUGUGGUGGAAAGCCCUUGGAAGGAGACGGGUGGAUGCAUGGGAGAUGCAGGCUACACUGCAGGGCUGCUGGCUUGCAGGAGAGAACCGAGGACAAGGGAGAGCUGGGGAAAGUUCUCUUGUGGUUGAAAUAAAUGCCAGACACUCUUCAAUGG